rnacentral:rRNA from 1 species
UACGUAGGUGGCAAGCGUUAUCCGGAUUUAUUGGGCGUAAAGGGAACGCAGGCGGUCUUUUAAGUCUGAUGUGAAAGCCUUCGGCUAAACCGGUGUAGUGCAUUGGAAACUGGGAGACUUGAGUGCAGAAGAGGAGAGUGGAACUCCAUGUGUAGCGGUGAAAUGCGUAGAUAUAUGGAAGAACACCAGUGGCGAAAGCGGCUCUCUGGUCUGUAACUGACGCUGAGGUUCGAAAGCGUGGGUAGCAAACAGG